GAUGAACGCUAGCGGCAGGCCUAAUACAUGCAAGUUGAACGGGCUUUGGUCUUCGGGCCAGAGUUAGUGGCGCACGGGUGCGUAACGCGUACACAACAUACCCUUGACUGGGGGAUAGCGGUGGGAAACUGCCAGUAAUACCCCAUGCCCUUGCGGAGUGGCAUUAUUUUGCAAGGAAAGUUACGGCGGUUGAGGAUUGGUGUGCGUCCGAUUAGCUAGUUGGCGGGGUAACGGCCCACCAAGGCGACGAUCGGUAGGGGGUGUGAGAGCAUGGCCCCCCACCAC
rnacentral:rRNA from 1 species